UACGUAGGUGGCAAGCGUUGUCCGGAUUUACUGGGCGUAAAGGGAGCGUAGGCGGAUUUUUAAGUGAGAUGUGAAAUACCCGGGCUUAACUUGGGUGCUGCAUUUCAAACUGGAAGUCUAGAGUGCAGGAGAGGAGAAGGGAAUUCCUAGUGUAGUGGUGAAAUGCGUAGAGAUAUGGAGGAACACCAGUGGCGAAGGCGGCUUCCUGGUCUGUAACUGACACUGAGGCGCGAAAGCGUGGGGAGCAAACAGGAUUAGAUACCCUGGUAGU
rnacentral:rRNA from 1 species